CAGUAGCCGCGGGAAUACGUAGGGUGCGAGCGUUAAUCGGAAUUACUGGGCGUAAAGCGUGCGCAGGCGGUUUUGUAAGACAGAGGUGAAAUCCCCGGGCUCAACCUGGGAACUGCCUUUGUGACUGCAAGGCUAGAGUACGGCAGAGGGGGAUGGAAUUCCGCGUGUAGCAGUGAAAUGCGUAGAUAUGCGGAGGAACACCGAUGGCGAAGGCAAUCCCCUGGGCCUGUACUGACGCUCAUGCACGAAAGCGUGGGGAGCAAACAGGAUUAGAUACCCCCGUAGUCCCUGUCUCUUAUAC
rnacentral:rRNA from 1 species